GUCGGAUCUUUCCAUUCGUUCUCAAUGUGGUGGAGUGACUUCAUGCUCUUGGUAAGAUUCCUAUUGUGUUAUAUUUAAAUGAAUUGGUGGUGUUGGUUCUGUUGUGUUAGAAUAAGACUUUUUGAUUAUAACUUGGUUCUGCUCUGACUUUUGCUAUUUGUGCUAUGUGUAUAUAUAAAAAGUAGGCCACGUGCGGGAAGUAUUGUACAAAUGUCAGAGAAUCGAGUAAUUUAAUUUCCUAAAGUUGUCAGAUCUUGAACUUUAUUCUUAAUAAAGGGAGAGCUUGAAGUUUAUUCUGUUGGCUUUAAAUAAAAUGGCAUGAAUCUGCCGAGGCUAGCCCACUAAGGGUUAGUCCGGUACAGGCCUCACCAUGCGGGCCCCCACCGACCAACACUCAAGUCAGCUGCCCGGGUCAUAGUGCUCGGCUCAGUGUUACAGUGCUGGAAGAGGAAGCCCUGUAACCGCGACGGUUCUGCCGCCUCUGUUUUAGAGCUGGCUCUGCCGAAACGUUGCAAGGUUCGACCCGACGAGAGUGGCCUGAUCCGAUACCCCGCUGGUCAGGCCUAGUGUCGGGUCACACAUCCCUAACCCUUUAGCAUGUGGGCAUAAAAAGAAAGUCACUAAUAUUCGGCAUGAUGUCGAAGUUUGCUUUUCCAAUGGUUAUCCAGAUACUGGUGUUGCUUCAGGACCUGAUGGUUGGCUGAGGGUUGCCUGUGGGGUCUUGAUGAGACUAAUUUGUGCAGGCUGCCAAUCUGCUGUGCUAAGAUGCCAGUCAACGCCCCAAAGACGUCAACCAAAGCAGGCUGUCAUCUGCUGCGCUGGUUCUUUUGCUUCAACCAGUUGACCAAGGAGGUCAUGGUAGACGACAUGAUGGUUCACUGUGUAUAGCGGACUGCAAGGUUAAUUACUUGAUUGCAGGCGUAAUGCCCCAAAGACCACCCGACUCAGGCUGUCAUCUGCUGCGCUGGUUCUUCUGUUUCAACUAGUUGAUCAAGGAGGUCAUGGUAGACGACAUGAUGGGUCACUGUGUAUAGCGGACUGCAAGGUUAAUUACUUGAUUGCAGGCGUAAUGCCCCAAAGACCACCAGAAUCAGGUGUGGAAUGACUCUUGCUCCUGGGACUUCUCUGGAAUAUAUUCCAGGUUCCUAUUAAUUCAUGCUCUGUUGAAAUAAAACAUUUUUUAACUUGA